rnacentral:lncRNA from 1 species
UAACGAAACGUAAUCCAAAAUAUAAACAAUUAGUAUUUCAUUAACUGAAUAUGAAUAAUAAAACUGAAUAUAUAAUAUUAAAAAAAAUUACUUAUUUUGAUCAAACCAGUAAUCAAGUCAGUCAAACUGCUAAUUCUUGAUUUAACUAAUUUGAUCAGAUAGUAAAUAAAAAUUUAAAAGUACUUCAAAUUUUAUGGACUUAGUUCAAUCGCCCUUUUUCACCGGCUUUAAGUAGUUUACUCAAGUAUUGGUUCAACCCCUUUGUUUAAACCCAUCAACAAGUCCUGCAACUUGGUUCAAUUGCCAGUUUUUUUUCCAGCUUUUGGCUUUCUAAUGGUUGCUAGCGGUUCGCUUAAAUACUGUUUAAAUUGAUAUACCAAUCAAUUUUUGAUGUAAUUAGUCGAUUCCGAUUAUAUUAACAUAGAUGAUAAAAUAAAAAACGAAGGUAUCAACCAAUUUUUUUUUCAUCCAAACAAAAACAGAGGUGGUGGCUAGAAACACUAACCGUUGUUGCAGGCGCUGAGAUCUGUAGUGACACCACACUCACGAGCGAUCCUAAGAGCUUCAGAGACGGUGACGUUAAAAGAUGAAAGCAAAGUAGGGUCGUUAAAGAGGUUGCAAAGGCAAGUAAGUUGAGUUUCCACGGCUUGUUUGAUAGGAUUACAGCAAUCAUCCUGCGGUUGUGCAGUGGCGUUGUUAAGGUAAGGAGCACAAGGCACCAGGCUCUGCGCACAAGUCUCUUGCGCAACCGUGAACGUUGCCAUCAUCGUCCCUAAUAUCAC